UUUUUUUUUUACAAUGUUGAUAGUGUUAAAAUACACUGCACCAAAGUAUCUCGCUGGUAAGUAUUUUUACCACCUGAACUUUUCUUACAGGAAAUGAUUUCCCAGUUUCAUCUGCUAUUCCUUUUCAAGGAUUUCUUAUAUAAGAGUGUAUGUCAGGUUAAUUUUUCUGGCUUCAUUUCAUGUAGACCAAGGUCAUGAGUUUAAUUUCUUUGCAGGCAGUUCAGUCUUUUAAAAAGGAACUAAAUUUGGUCCCAAACAGACCUGAUUUUCUAUCUUGACUCCUCCACCCCCAUCCCAACCCCACCCCACCCUUUUCCCAGGUGCCCUGUUCUGUCUGGGCCCAAAACCCAUCCAAUCAGAUUUACUGUAAAACAUAAUUCUCCCUAUAAACCCCUAAAAACUAAAAUUCACCCAGUAUUAUGGGUAUACUUUCUUCUGGGUCAAGUUAAGGCAUUUAGACAGAUUUCUUGAUUUUUAUGAGCCUCAGUUGCCUCAUCUCUAAAGAUUUUUUUAAAACAGGGUCCUUGUGACUCCUAAGUAUGUCAAACAUCAAGGGUAGUGUCUGGCACUUACUAACUGCUGAACAAAUGUUAACACUUUCCUUUCCUGUGCCUGAUAUUUUUUAGCAUCUAUGGAACAAAUAGAUGACGAAUUCAUAAAUUGCUGGCAUAAUCUUGGUAGGAAUCAAUCACACUCCAUUCAGAAUUGUCUCCUCCCCCAAAUACAGCUCUUAUAUCCCAAGUGUAUUAUUUUCUAUGAGUCAAAAUUUAAAAAAUAGUACAUAUUUAAAAUGAUUUAUGUGUAUUUAAGGAAAAGCAUUUAAUCUGCCCCAUAAGCUUUAUAUGACUAUAAUAAAAAAUAGUGGAAGGUUUUUUUCACUAAAAGUAUUCUAUAAAUCAGGAUAAUAAUACCUACCUCAUAGAUUUUUUGCUAAAAAUAAAUAGGUUAAUAAAUGUAAAGCAAUUAGUACAGUGUAGUACACAAAACUAAGUCCUUAAUAACAGGUAACUAUUACUAUGUUUAAAAGGGCUUUGGGUUUAUUUAUUUAGGAAGUACACCAAAUUAUAGAACAUGUAACAGUUUGAAAAACAACAGAGAUUGUAAGCCUGAGAGAUAGCGACAGUGUGAGAUGCAGAGAGAAAGAGUAAGAGAAAAGAAAGUUUCCAUUUUAACUAUAUAGAAUAGGAACUAUUCACUCCUGGCCUUUGCUCCAGCUAGCUGAAUGACUUUGGGCCAUUUGAGCCUCCUCUCUUCCCCCUAACCCUUAGGAUGCUUCAUUUCAGCAUUCACAAAACAUUUGCUGAGCGCAGUCCUAAACAUGGUGAGCUUUAAUAUGAUGGCAGAUAUAAAAGUGAUCUGUACAUUCCAAAACACUAUCCAAACAAAUCCAGGUUCCUGUGUUUUGUGAGACUUGGAUAAAAUGGGCUCCCAUUUUGUCUGCCUGACAGAGUUUGGAUUUAAUGCUCUGAUCCUGAGAAGCCUAAGGACACUAAAAACAUAUCAAACCUGCUGCAUGCAUCCCUAUGUUCAUUGCAGCACUUAUUCACAAUAACCAACACAUGGAAACAACCUAAAUGUCCAUAGACAGAUGAAUGUAUUAAGAAGAUGUGGUACAUAUACACAAAAUACUACUCAGCCAUAAAAAGAAGGAAAUAAUGCCAUUUGCAGCAACAUGGAUGCAACUAGAGAUUCUCAUACUAAGUCAGAAAGGGAAGGAUAAACAUUAUAUAUUUCUUAUAUGUAGAAUCUAAAAUAUGUCACAAAUGAUCCUAUCUAAGAACAGAAAUAGGCUCACAGACAUGGAGAACAGAACUGUGAUUGCCAAGGAAGAGGGAGGGAAUGGAAUGGACUGGUAGUUUGGAGUUAGUAGAUGCAAACCAUUAAAUUUAGAAUGGAUAGACAAUAAGGUCCUAGGGAACUAUAUCUAAUCUCCUGGAAUAUACCAUGUAUAGCACAGGGAACUAUAUGUAAUCUCCUGGGAUAGACCAUGAUGGAAAAUAAUAUUUAAAAAAGAAUGUAUUUGUAAGACUGAAUCACUUUGUGUACAGCAGAAACUGGCAAAACAUCAUAAAUCAGCUAUAUUUCAAUUAAGAAAGAGAGAGAAAACAGGUCUUUCCUUAGUGCCUAGCACAGAACCAGGCAUGGAAAGGUUCUCAGGUGGAUGUAGGAUAAUUGGUGAGUCAUUAUCGUCAACCUCAUUCACUUUUAUAUACUUACUAAAUCCUAAAUCAUGCAAAGACCCCCAUUCUCCACUAGCAGUGCCAGAGCAAUGCCAUUUAAAUGUAUAUACAUACAUUAUAUCCUGGUGAAUAAACUGCAAGGAUGUUGGUGGUUAAAAGUAGAGCUGCAGAGGGCAGCCUGACCCAGAGAACACUUUAUAGAAGGAAACACAGAGUUAAAGUAUGCGCCAAUCUUUAUUAUGCUAUAUUGAACAAAUACGCUAUAUCAGAAAAAAUCUGGAUAAGCUUCCUUCCUAGAACUGAGCUAAGAUACAAGUGCAAAACCUCAUGUGACACAAUGAUGUUGGCAGAAGUGAAAAGACUGGCUUUUCUUGUGUUUACUGUCCUCUUUUACUAAAUGUGACACACUUCUUUACUCAGGACUCAUUUAUUAACUGGCUCAUCUCUCUAAAAUGAAAAUCCAUUCAAAGUAGUUUUACUCUAAAAUACAGUCCCUCCUAUGAACCACUAAAUCCCAAAUUCGGCCCAUGUGAUCAAUCAACAUAUAUUUUCUUUUUUUUUUUUUUUUUUUUUUCUCUACUGAAAGAAAUUCAUGUCACAGUUACGUAGCUGUUUCACAAAGACUGAACCUGUCAAUGCCUUAUAAAUGGUAUCAUUUCCUGGAUGUUUCUUUAGAAGUUCCCACUGUGGAGCAACAGAUCGCCGAUGUCUUGGGAGCACUGGGAUGCAGGUUUGAUCCCUACCCUAGCACAGUGGUUAAGGACACAGCAUUGCAGCAGCUGUGGCUUAGGUCACAACUGUGGCUCUGAUCUGAUCCCUAGCCCAGGAACUCCAUAUGCCAGCAGGGGAGCCAAAAAAUAAAAAAAUAGUGUAUCUUUAUAUUUGCUUGUCUCCCCUUCCCCAGAAUAAAGCAGGACAUUAUCCUUAGAGAUUUAUUAGCCAGACCUUCCUUCUGCAAUAAAGCAAUUGUGGUCCCUACGCCCCUCAGCAAUGCAUUCGAAUUGGAACAUAAUUACCACUCCAACUAAAACCACUCUGGAGAACACAAACACUAGUUGGCUUCCAGAUCAGACUUCUGAAAAGAACUGAAUUAUACAGUAUAAAUACAAUGCUAACAUUAUCGACUAUAUGGAGGAGAAGUGCAUGCAAAAAGAAGUUUGGGUCCUUCCCAAUAUAAAGUUUUCAAUUAGAUCCACCCCCUCUUCAUCUUUUGAAAUAAAGAUGCUGCAAAGAGCUUGGGAAAAACAUCCUCCAAUAAAUUCUCUGUGUGUUAUGGGAGUUAGGAAUAAAAGGAAAUCUUGCUCCUAUCCACAAGGACUUCACAACCAAGAAGGAAGAACAGAGCAUGUAACAGGAGUAGUCUUCCAGGUCUGGCUCCUUAAUCACUGCCCUGAGAAGAUACCAAACUUGAGAAGCUAUAGUUCCCUGAAUUUAACACCCCAGAUUUUAAGAAAAAAAAAUCAAGAUUUGAUAGCUUGAAGUACUGCCUGUUAAUAAACUGUUUUAAAGGCUUUAAAUGGAACAGCUCUAAAUAACCUUCUGGUCAGGACUAGGAAUACAAGGUACAAAUCACUUGACAGCUGAUGCACUAUAAAGGGAGUGUUUGAAAAUGCUCUUCUCUUGGGGAUUUUUAAAGACUAUGAUAAACCAAAACCUUUCCAGGGUGCUUUAAGUGCAAUUCUCUCCAGAGGAGGAGAGAUGAGAUGGCAUCUCAAGCUUCCUUACAAUCCUAUAAUUCUGUCAUGCUAAAAUGCUUACAGCGCUGGGGAGCCAUGCUAUUUUAUGUUACUCAAUUUAAAUAUGAUUGAAAAAAGAAAUGUUCAACAAUAGAAAGUAGAAAAUACCAAGCACCAUUUGAAAUGAAGUUGAGGGCAGAUGAUAAGACAUGGAUUAUUUAGGCAGUGUAUGUUCUCUAUUGAGAAGUAACUUUCUAACCAAAAAUAAAUGAAUUUUAUAACACAGUGAAAGAGUCCUGGCUUUGUUCAAUUUGCUUUGAGUGGAAUCUUAAUACCUCUGGCCAAUCUGGUUCCACAAAGAUGAACAAAACUCACAUGGUGGUGAUAAGGGGAUUUUAGAGAUCACCUAGUGGUGAGAGGGCAGCAAACUUUUCAUGUAGAGGACCAGAUAGUGAACAUUUUCGACUUUGUGAUGGUCACUGAGGCAAAUGCUCAGCUCGGCUGUUGAAGUGCAAAAACAGCCAUAGACAGUAUGUAAAUGAAGAGGGGGUACUGUGUUCCAAUAAAAAUUUAUUUAUGGACACUGAAAUUAGAACCUCAUGUAAUUUUUACAUAAAAUAAUAAUACAAAUAAUAGGAAAUAGUCUUAUUUUUACUGUUUUAACCAUGAAAAAUGUGAAAAAAAAAUUCUUAGCCUGCAAACCAUAAAAACAACAGGAAGUGGACUUGACUUUUUUACUCCAUUGGUCUUAAAACUACCUUUUUUUUCCUUUUCUUUUAAUGGCCACACCCACAGCAUAUGGAGGUUCCUGGGCUAGGCUGGGGAUCAAACCCACACCUCCAUAGCAACCUGAGCCCCUGUAGUCAGAUGCUUAACCCACUGCACCACAGUGGGAACUCUAAACUACCCUUUUAGUGGGAGAUUCCUCUCUUCAAAUGAAAAUAUACAGAUAGAGCAAAAAAGAGCAGGAUUAUAUUAACUUCAGGGCAUUAACCUAGAGUAUUUGCUGCUCCCAGACGCCUACCUAUACUUCCCUGCUUUGCCCCAGAGGUAAGACUAAAAUUCCUCAGAGCAUAAGCAGAAUCCAUGACUUUAAUUCAAGCCACUCAAAUUCCUCCUGAAGGACCAGAGGUGAACAAAGAUGAAAUAACUGUUCUAAAGCAUGCAAGUAGUUUUAAGUGAACAGGAGCCAGAACAUGACUUUCUUCUUGUGUCCUAGUUUUAGCUUCCCAACAACACAGCAGCACAACCCUUUAGGGGUAAAAUCCAAGUGGAAGUUACAUGUAAUGGCCAAAUAAAAGUAUAAAUUGCUUGGUUAUCUGGUAGGAAAUGCUUUUCUCAUGGUCCUUCAUGUCCAAGACACAAGAUGGAUUUGUGAUCGCGAUUAGCGGGUAUUCACCAAUGAGAGAGACAUUAAACCAGAUUCUCCCUCAUGUCUAAUUGCUCCCUGCUAGCAAAUUGGGCACUUAUAUGCAGGAUGUGGAGGUGCCCUCUCCCCAUCAGGAUGAUGCUGCCUCCAUCUAUCCUUCUACCAUUAUCCUGGAGUGACUCAAUACCAGAUCACCACUAGCGAGCCCUACUCUUCUUCCAAUAAUGGCAUAUCUGACUUUGAGGACAAAACUGCUUAGGACAACAUUUCCCAAAGUACCUCCCAAAUAACAUGAAUGUCGUUCAGCCAGACAUGCAAAAAAAGUGUUCCCAGAGCAAAAAGAAAAAAAAUGUUUCCUGGAUCAAACUAGUGUAUACUAUUCCCCUCUUAGUAAUCACAACAAACAUUAGCAGAUUAAAGGAUCUGAGAAGCCUCCUAGGAAAUAAUCCUAUUUAAUGUUAUUUAACCAGCAUUUCCCCAAUGUAUAUUAAAAUGGAACUUAUUUUAUCCUUCUUCUGUUCUAUGUUCUUUUUCUAGACCUCCAUUUGCAGUGGAGGGGAAAGGAACUAGAAGCUAGAUUUACACUCAAGUAAACAACUUGAGUAGUUUUGUCAUACUCAGAAGUUUGUCAGUUUAGUCAACAUAUCUAGGUUGAGUGCUCACUGUGUGUCAGGUACUGCUCCAGGCCUUUGCAAUACUGUGGAACUAGGUAGACAUAUUGUCUGCUCUUGUAGAGUUUAUAUCAUAGUUAGGGAGUCAUCAUUAACAUAAAUAAAUCCAUCCAUCCCACC
rnacentral:lncRNA from 1 species